rnacentral:tRNA from 1 species
GCCUUCGUGGUGUAGUGGUCUGCAUGCUCGACGUGUAACCGAGAGGUCCGUGGUUCGAUUCCCCCGAAGGCG